GAUGAACGCCGGCGGUGUGCCUAAUACAUGCAAGUCGUACGCACUGGACCAACUAAUUGAUGGUGCUUGCACCUGAUUGACGAUGGAUCACCAGUGAGUGGCGGACGGGUGAGUAACACGUAGGUAACCUGCCCCGGAGCGGGGGAUAACAUUUGGAAACAGAUGCUAAUACCGCAUAACAACAAAAGCCGCAUGGCUUUUGUUUGAAAGAUGGCUUUGGCUAUCACUCUGGGAUGGACCUGCGGUGCAUUAGCUAGUUGGUAAGGUAACGGCUUACCAAGGCGAUGAUGCAUAGCCGAGUUGAGAGGAUGACCAGCCACACUGGAACUGAGACACGGUCCAG
rnacentral:rRNA from 1 species